GAUCAUGGCUCAGGAUGAACGCUGGCGGCGUGCUUAACACAUGCAAGUCGAGCGAAGCACCUAAGAAAGAUUCUUCGGAUGAAUUCUUUUGUGACUGAGCGGCGACGGGUGAAGGUAACGCGUGGGUAACCUGCCUCAUACAGGGGAAUAACAGUUAGAAAUGACUGCUAAUACCGCAUAAGACCACGGUACUGCAUGGUACAGUGGUAAAAACUCCGGUGGUAUGAGAUGGACCCGCGU
rnacentral:rRNA from 1 species